rnacentral:lncRNA from 1 species
GCAUAUAUCAAAACAUUUUAAAGCAACUUUUAGUCAGUUUUUCUGGGUGGUCCUGAGGUGUGACCCAGGGCUUCAUACAUGCUAAGCACAUGCUCUGCCAUGGAUCUGCACCGUAGCUUUUCACUUUAUUAUUAUUAUUAUUAUUAUUAUUAUUAUUAUUAUUAUUAUUAUUUAUUUAUCUUCAACAUUCUAAGCACAGUUCAUAUUUCUAAAAUAUGUCACAUCUUCAUUUAAUGCUUCUGUUGAUGUCUAUCUAGAAGUUCUAUACACAGGUAAUGUCAUAGGUAAUUAAUUAACUAAUUACUCAAAAUUAUUCUAAGAUAGUCCGUCAUUUAUCCAAAGAAUCCAAAGUUCAUGCUUGUAAUUGCAACAAUUGGGAAACUGAAGCAGGAGAAUCUGUGCAAGCUUGAGACUAGCCUGCACUACAUGGUGUGUUCCAGGACAGCCUGGCUGCAGGGUGAGAGCCAGUCUCAGAAAUCUGAAAACGUCUAUAGUAGAAAUUAAGUUUAAGAAAAGCUUUACUUUCUCUCCUUCUGCUUCGUAUCCUUCUGUAACUAUCGUUGAAAUAAUUAUCUGCAGUAUCGUGCUCCUCCUAAAUGUCCCUAGAAAGGUCAAUGCAUACAUAGAUCUGCAUGUUUUCUCAUGUUCUUGCUCCCCCCUCUCUCCUCUUCUUUCUUGUUACAUCUCUCCUUCUUCCACCACUCCAUUUUUCUUUUCUCUCUUUCAUUCUCUCUUUCUUCUUGUCUAAACUAGACUUUUAUACAUAUAUUUUAUAACUUGCUUUGCAGGAAUUUAGGCUGAUAUGGAUAGUUUUAUUUUCAUUUUAUUUAUUCUUCUCUCAUACAAUACAUUCCAAUUACAGCCUCCCCUCCCUCUACUCCUUCCACUACCCACCUCCCCCAGAUCCACUGCUCCUCCUUUACUUCAGAAAAGACCAAAUCCCCCAAGAAUAUCAACCAAACAUGGCAGAACAAGAAUCAAAAGACCAAGCACAAACCCUCAUAUCAUGGCUGGACAAGACAACCCAGGAGGAGGAAAAAGAUCCCAAGAGCAGGCAAACACAUUAGAGAUACCCCAACUCCCACUGUUAUGAGUUCCACAAGAACACCAAGUUACACAACCAUAACAAAUAUGCUGUGAAACAUGGUUCAGCCCCAUAAAGGCUCCCCAUGUUCAGUCUCUGUGAGCCAUUUUGAUCUCUGCUUAGUUGAUUCUGUUGGCCAUUUCUCCUGGGGUCCUUACCCUCUGGCUCUUAUAACCCUUCCUCCCUAUCUUCUGCAGGGUUCCCUAAGCUCUGCCUAAUAUUUGGCUGUGGGCCUCUGCAUCUGCUCCUAUCAGCUACCAGAGGAAGCCUCAUUGACAACUAUUGGAUUAGGUACUGGUCUAUGACUAUAGAUGAACAUUAUUAGGAAUAAUUUUAUUGACUGUUUUUCCCAGUUGUAUUUAGUUCUACCCUAGGUCUCUGGGCCUUCCAGCUUCCAAAUCCUAGCAACCCAGGCAGGACCAAGCUUGGCUUCCUUCUGAUAUAGUGGGCCUCAGGUUAGACCAAUGAUUGAUUGGUCACUAUCACAAGCUCUGACCUACCAUUGUCCCAGCACAUCUUGCAGGCAGGACAGUUUGUGGCUUGAAGAUUUUGUGACUGAGUUGGUGUCUAAGUCCCAUCACUAGAAGCUUUAGCUGGUUACAAAAGAUGGCCAGUUCAGGCUCCUAUCCUUCAUGACUAGAAGUCCUGGAUAGGGUUACCCUUGUAGGUUCCAAGAAGGAUCCAAUGCACUGUUUGUUUGUUUGUUUGAUUGAUUGUUUUCUUUUUGUUUUGUAGUAUAAAAACCUUUUUAUAUGAUGUAUUGUUGAUAUUCACCUAAUAUCUAAUCCAUAGAACAAAUUUAUUCAUUCUGGUACCUGCCUAAGAUUCCAUUCACUGUAUUUUAUUUAACCAUUAUUCUAUGAAUGAAUUACCUAGUCAUUUUCAGUUUUGAGCCACUACUUGCAGUAACAACAUUGUACAUAUAACCUUAGGUAUUUAUAUUCAAUUAUAAGAAAAAUCUCUAAAUUUGUAUUUGCUGAUAUUACAUUUAUAUUGAAGUGGACGUUGCCAUAGACCUUUCAGGAAGGCAGUGACAGUGAGGGCUUACCUGUACUUUGAGCAUCUCUCAAGUGCUGGGUGAUCAAUGACAUGUUUUUUUCAAAGAAAUUGGAGAAUAUAAUGGAAAUCACUACUGCUUUAUGUUUCAUUAUACCAAGCCGGUCACCUGAAGUACAAGGUCAAUAAACAGAAGGCCUUGUGCUACGGUUUUAAGGGAAUCUUUAAUAAUUUAUGGUACAUGAGAGAAUUUUGCUAUGUGUGUUCCUGAAUAUAUCCUUUCUUCUUAAAUUACGGUGGUUGUAUAUUUAGGUUUUACUAUCAGGAAAAGUUGAAAACCACAAGCAGGAAUGUGUGUGAACUGAGCAGGUUGAAAUAGCAGUGAGAACACAGGGAUUGGCAUUAACUCAUUAUUUAUAAAUGGCUUUUGCAGAAAUUCCAUCCCCCAGGUCAGAUGUUUAUAGAGAGUUCAACUCCACUCCUCCUUCAGUUUAUAUAAUACGACCAAGAUUUGUUAUCCUCUUAACUCACCAUGGGAAGUGUAAUUCAUUAAUAUGUAUCAGUUUUGGAUGCUUCCAGCUACAAGUGAGUGUGAACAAUUGGGUGUCACCUUGGGUCUUUAUGUAAUUACAAUGAACAUGUCAGUGUACCAAGCCACAGACUCACUGGAGUAUAACGUAACUCCUCCAGUGAGAAGCACUCUAAGGAAAGCCAUGUCAAAUGAGAAGGAUGCAAAAAAAAACAACAAUAAAAAACUCAAAAAACAAAACAAAAGACAAGAACCUUUUAAACAUGAUUAUUAAAAUGUUUCUAAUAUCUUAUUUCACAUUUAUUGAUGACAGUCUUAUGUAUGCAGCAAUAAUAGAUUUCAUUUCAACUCAGUAAAUUUACAAGAAAGAAAGGCAAGUGAUUUAGGGGGAAAAAACACAGCUACUUGGCUUAAAAAGAAUACCUUAGGGGAAUAGUUUCAGGUAUGUCAGUUUGAGGAAGUAAUUUGAAAUUUACAAUCAAGUUGUAAUUCUCCUUGCUUUGCUAUACAUGAGUGUUUUCUCCGCUUUGUGCUUGGCCUUAGUCUGGAGUGGUCAGCUUGUUUAGAAGAGCAAGUAAUGAUCAGUUACUUCUGAACAUCUUUAUGAAUCCCCAGUAACCUGAGAUAUUUAAGGACCAGAGUUUGUGAGCUUGUGUCUUCCCAUCUAUGGAUUUUGCUAUCAGGAGAGGUCCUAGAACUAGUCACUCACUAGUACAGAUAGCUCUAUGAGAUCUCUAGAUUCCUGCUGUGUCCCAAAUGGCUUAGCAAUAUCCCUACUUUGCAGGACACAAAAGUCUUGAAAUUUACUGACUGAAGCUCUUCUACUAGCCUUGUUUUCUGGAAUACCCAUCUGCUGUGAUUGUCAGACAACACUGCAGUGUACUUCCUGAGGUCCUUUCAUAAUAGGUAGGACUGCUGAGCUUGUGACAAUACCUUCAGUGUAAGGCACGGGCAACAGAACAUCAGCAACCACUGCAGAGUUUCCGUAGAAAAACAGGUCUAGAGACAGCCUGGAAGGAACAUGUAGCCUCCACCCAUCAUUUGACUACCUUAGGUCAGCUCACAGACAUUUAGGGACGUCAUCCCGCCUUCUCUACUUUUGUCAUAUAUAUUUAAAUCAUUUGAAAUGUCAAACAUAGCCUCCCCCUUGUGUUAUCACAUUCUGGAACAAUCUCUGGAAUUUCUGUGAGAUUCUGAGUUUUUUGUUGGUACUUGGGAUACAAACAAACUUUUCAUGACUGUUGGUGUCAAGUGUCUGCUAAAUGCCUGUCUGGAGUUGAGUGCCCCUCCCUGUAAUAAAAAUUCAGUCCAAGGAGGUGUUAGGGUGGUGAGUAGUGCAGAACUGCACUUCCCAAUGUUCUUAGCUGACCAGUGACCACCAAAUAAAGCU